UGGGGAAUUUUGGACAAUGGGCGCAAGCCUGAUCCAGCCAUGCCGCGUGCGGGAAGAAGGCCUUCGGGUUGUAAACCGCUUUUGUCAGGGAAGAAAUCUUCUGAGUUAAUACCUCGGGAGGAUGACGGUACCUGAAGAAUAAGCACCGGCUAACUACGUGCCAGCAGCCGCGGUAAUACGUAGGGUGCAAGCGUUAAUCGGAAUUACUGGGCGUAAAGCGUGCGCAGGCGGUUUUGUAAGACAGAGGUGAAAUCCCCGGGCUCAACCUGGGAACUGCCUUUGUGACUGCAAGGCUUGAGUGCGGCAGAGGGGGGAUGGAAUUCCGCGUGUAGCAGUGAAAUGCGUAGAUAUGCGGAGGAACACCGAUGGCGAAGGCAAUCCCCCUGGGGCCUGCACUGACG
rnacentral:rRNA from 1 species